UCUGAAGGUAAUAUUGAUAAAUCUUUCUAUGCAACUACACCAGACGCUAAACUAAAAGUUACUGAUAAAGGAAUAGAACAAGCUAAACUUUGCGUAGGCGAGGACUAGGUACUGUUGUCUGUCUUUCAUUCAUUGUAAAAGAAAUGGUAGAGGAGUUUCUGCUCCACUGAACAGCCAUAGUGGAGGAGAGACGUCACCAUGGCAACA